UUUCAGCGCCGAAGAAGCGAAAGUGACGGUAGGCGCAGAAGAAGCACCGGCUAACUACGUGCCAGCAGCCGCGGUAAUACGUAGGGUGCGAGCGUUGUCCGGAAUUAUUGGGCGUAAAGAGCUUGUAGGCGGUUUGUCGCGUCUGCUGUGAAAACCCAGGGCUUAACCCUGGGCCUGCAGUGGGUACGGGCAGACUAGAGUGUGGUAGGGGAGACUGGAAUUCCUGGUGUAGCGGUGAAAUGCGCAGAUAUCAGGAGGAACACCGAUGGCGAAGGCAGGUCUCUGGGCCACUACUGACGCUGAGAAGCGAAAGCAUGGGGAGCGAACAGGAUUAGAUACCCUGGUAGUCCAUGCCGUAAACGUUGGGCGCUAGGUGUGGGACUCAUUCCACGAGUUCCGUGCCGCAGCUAACGCAUUAAGCGCCCCGCCUGGGGAGUACGGCCGCAAGGCUAAAACUCAAAGGAAUUGACGGGGGCCCGCACAAGCGGCGGAGCAUGCGGAUUAAUUCGAUGCAACGCGAAGAACCUUACCAAGGCUUGACAUAUACCGGAAACAUCUGGAGACAGGUGCCCCGCAAGGUCGGUAUACAGGUGGUGCAUGGUUGUCGUCAGCUCGUGUCG
rnacentral:rRNA from 1 species